rnacentral:lncRNA from 1 species
GGAUGAAACAGGGCUGUGGUGGGAACUUCCUAUGGCAGCACCGCCACCUAAAAUGGAAUUUUGGUUUUACUGGAUUUAUGGGUGAGCCCUGAGUUGAUAAUAUUUCUUUUUCUUGGUGAUUUUCAACAUUUUUUUGUUCUCUCACAUUUUUAUGCUAUUUCUCACUCAAAUUUGACUACUGGUAGCAGGCUGCACCCAGCUCUGAGCUUUGAUGUAAAGCUCCGCAGUGUAUAUAUAGUUCUGGGUUUGAUGUCUUUAUGUCAGAAGCCCAUGGGCACAUGGGUUCAGUGUUUUGCUUCACUAUCAUAGAAUCAUAGAAUGGUUAGGGUUGGAAAGGACCUUAAGAUCAUCUAGUUCCAACCCCUCUGCCAUGGGCAGGGACACCUCGCACUAAACCAUGUCGCCCAAGGCUCUGUCCAACCUGGCCUUGAACACCUCCAGGGAUGAAGCAUUCACAACUUCCGUGGGCAACCCAUUCCAGUGCCUCACCACCCUCACUGUAAAGAACUUCUUCCUUAUAUCGAACCUGAACUUCCUCUGUUUAAGUUUAAACCCAUUCCCCCUUUUCCUAUUGCUACAGUCCCUGAUGAAGAGUCCCUCCCCAGCAUCCUUGUAAGCCCCCUUCAGAUACUGGAAGGCUGCUAUGAGGUCUCCACGCAGCCUUCUCUUCUCCAGGCUGAACAGCCCCAACUCUCUCAGCCUGUCUUCAUACAGUAACUGAGAGCUACUCAAGGAUCCAAUGUAAUUUGUUUGAAGACACUGAGCUGUGAAGAGGUGUGGGGAAUCGAACUCUCAUGAUGCUUGAAAUGCAUGGGCUGGGUGGGCGAGCAAAAGAAAUAAAGAGAGUUUGUUUCUCCUGGCAAUCCUACAGCUGAGAAUUGCUCAAAGACGGGUAGAGAUUUAAAGGACAACACUGCAGGAGCAUGAAGGUGAUCUUUGUAUGGAACAAAACUGCAGUGAGCUCAACAUGUGUAUGUAAUUUUUCAGUGCAAAAUAUGUACCCAUAAAGCUUCAUGUUUGUUGGAAAACGUGAACAUAGAACAGCUGAUUGUGCCUGGCCCUAAGGUUCGUUCUGACCUCUAUCCAGUCACCAACAGUCCUAAGUCAGUGAAAGGAUGUAAGAGCAAGGUGAGGACUAACAGAAUCUCCCAGUGCCUGCUGGGAGAACCUCCCUGUGUGCUGCUUCUGAACUGGGUGCUGAACACUGGUGACGGACAGCGCUGUUCAGAGCUGGAGCACAGGCACUGGUUAGCUGUGUCCCUCUGGGCACCCGGCAGGCGAGCGUGACGCCGCCUCGCGGCCUCUUUGUAACUGCAAAGCGAUAAAAGGCCUUUAAUUCUCACAUGCCAGGAGGGAAAAAAGGAGAGUGUGUGCUGUCUGGCCCAAAGGGACGUCAGUGAGAUUGCCGCUAAGGCUUCAGGUAAGCCCUCGUUUCUUAGGGAUUUUUGUAUGUGUUGGAAUAAAUGGAAUGCAGGAGUUCAGACUCGUGGUUGUACUUUAACUGGUGCUAUUUUUUAUACCAAUUUACAGUGCCUUUUUGGAUUAGCUCUUGUCUGUAGCACGUCCUAAGGAAGUGCGUAGCCGUCAGGUCUGGAGCACAGGCAGGAGUGUGAAUGCCUGUGAGAGGAACAGGGCUUCUGGCUUCUGGUCAGCAUCUUGCGCACCUGAUGGGGAUGGAGAUCUUGGAGCAGGGAAUCUGUGAUCUGUUUUUAGUAAUCACAGUUUAAUAUGAGCACUUCAUUAUUGUGCUAUUGGACCUGUGUUAUGGUAGACACUUUUACUGUUUCACUUGUAAACUGUAAGUUACCUAAUAGAGAAGUCAAAUCCACUUUUAAGUCAGUACUAUUUAUUACAAUGUUUACUUGUGUGAUCCCCGCAUUUGUAGCACUGUAAAUGGCUACACACAGUACUUAGGUAAAUGUUUGUAACGUUAAUAAACGCAAACAUGGCAGCA